CGCCUCUCGGAUCUAGGCCCUCAACCUCCUGCAGUUCAAAGAUCUUAAUGCAGAUAAGAGUCCAUUCCAGCGGACAUAUGCUGCCCAGAUUAACUGAAGAUGAAGAAUUUAAAAGAGUGGUUUUCCUAUGAGCUAUUGUCUAAAUCAUUACUAUCUGCAAGGCCUUUCAGCUUCUUUUAUGAGGAAUCACUGGAUGGUGAACUUGGCAACCGAGGAGAAAUAUUGAGGUCUCUAUGGUGAUUUCGGAUUCUAACCCUUGCUAUGAAGACGUACAUAUGAGGCUUGCUGCAGUACUUUUAAUGUUACUAUUGAGUCCAACUGAGUGUUAUGUUUGUUUCCUGGUCUUUUCUUUCUUCUGUCAUGAUCAUGUUCAUGCCUGAACAUUUAAAAAAUGGGAAAUAAGUGGACUAUGGUUGUGCUACUAUUUUGUUUAUAGACGAACUUACUACUCUUCUAGUUUAUCAAGUAAUUAAGUAGAUUGUCCUUACUAA